rnacentral:rRNA from 1 species
UACGGAACCGGAGCUAAUACCGGAUAAUAUUUUGAACCGCAUGGUUCAAAAGUGAAAGACGGUCUUGCUGUCACUUAUAGAUGGAUCCGCGCUGCAUUAGCUAGUUGGUAAGGUAACGGCUUACCAAGGCAACGAUGCAUAGCCGACCUGAGAGGGUGAUCGGCCACACUGGAACUGAGACACGGUCCAG